AUUGAACGCUGGCGGCAGGCCUAACACAUGCAAGUCGAACGAGUGGCGGACGGGUGAGUAAUGUCUGGGAAACUGCCUGAUGGAGGGGGAUAACUACUGGAAACGGUAGCUAAUACCGCAUACCAUCGGAUGUGCCCAGAUGGGGUUAGCUAGUAGGUGGGGUAAAGGCUCACCUAGGCGACGAUCCCUAGCUGGUCUGAGAGGAUGACCCGCCACACUGGAACUCAGGCAAGAUCCAAACUCCGAAGCGAGGCAGCGGUGGGGAUGAUGUGACAAAUGGCGCAAGCGAGGUGAAGCCUUGCCGCGUGUAUGAAGAAGGCCUUGGGGUUGUAAAGUACUGUCAGCGGGAAGGCGUUACCCGCAGAAGUAGCACCAGCUAACUCCGUGCCAGCAGCCACGGUAAUAC
rnacentral:rRNA from 1 species